rnacentral:rRNA from 1 species
UGCCAGCCGCCGCGGUAAUACGGAGGGUGCAAGCAUUAAUCGGAUUUAUUGGGCGUAAAGUGCGUGCAGGCGGGAAAAUAAGUCAGAUGUGAAAGACUGGGGCUCAACCUCAGGCCCGCAUUUGAAACUGUUUUUCUAGAGGAUAGACGGAGUAAGUGGAAUUCCACAUGUAGCGGUGAAAUGCGUAGAUAUGUGGAGGAAUACCAGUGGCGAAGGCGACUUACUAGUUUAUACCUGACGCUGAAGCGCGAAAGCAAGGGGAGCAAACAGGAUUAGAUA